ACACUACAGUUUUUGGGGGAGAGAGCUGGAUGAUGUUGUUCAUGAUGGGCAUUGGCUAAAUGUAAGAAACGCAUUUACUCUUCCUCUUAAUUCUUGCUACUGACGUUACAAGAAGAAAGGCUUGAUUCAUUUUUCUUUGCUUUAAAAGAAUGAAGUUACGGUGAUACAAUUAAGUUGGAGGAGAAAGCUGAUUGAAGAUGUUGCCUUUUCAUUUUGGGGUUCAUUAUUUUUUUUUUUAUUAAAGUUUUAUUGCAGCACUUUACCAUUUCAUUUGCAUUUAAUGUCUUGAUUACAACACCUUUUACUUUUUUUUUAUGAAGUAAAGAAGCACAUUUAAUUCCAGCACCUUUUAUUUUUUUUAAUUCACGUUGCAAGCAUA
rnacentral:lncRNA from 1 species